GACGAACGCUGGCGGCGUGCUUAACACAUGCAAGUCGAACGGAAAGGCCCUGCUUUUGUGGGGUGCUCGAGUGGCGAACGGGUGAGUAACACGUGAGUAACCUGCCCUUGACUUUGGGAUAACUUCAGGAAACUGGGGCUAAUACCGGAUAGGAGCUCCUGCUGCAUGGUGGGGGUUGGAAAGUUUCGGCGGUUGGGGAUGGACUCGCGGCUUAUCAGCUUGUUGGUGGGGUAGUGGCUUACCAAGGCUUUGACGGGUAGCCGGCCUGAGAGGGUGACCGGCCACAUUGGGACUGAGAUACGGCGCAGACUCGUACGGGAGGCAGCAGUGGGGAAUAUUGCACAAUGGGCGGAAGCCUGAUGCAGCAACGCCGCGUGCGGGAUGCCGGCCUUCGGGUUGUAAACCGCUUUCGCCUGUGACGAAGCGUGAGUGACGGUACUGGGUAAAGAAGCACCGGCUAACUACGUG
rnacentral:rRNA from 1 species